rnacentral:rRNA from 1 species
UGGGGAAUAUUGGACAAUGGGCGAAAGCCUGAUCCAGCCAUGCCGCGUGAGUGAUGAAGGCCCUAGGGUUGUAAAGCUCUUUUGUGCGGGAAGAUAAUGACGGUACCGCAAGAAUAAGCCCCGGCUAACUUCGUGCCAGCAGCCGCGGUAAUACGAAGGGGGCUAGCGUUGCUCGGAAUCACUGGGCGUAAAGGGUGCGUAGGCGGGUUUCUAAGUCGGGGGUGGAAGCCUGGAGCUCAACUCCAGAACUGCCUUUGAUACUGGAAGUCUUGAGUUCGGGAGAGGUGAGUGGAACUGCGAGUGUAGAGGUGAAAUUCGUAGAUAUUCGCAAGAACACCAGUGGCGAAGGCGGCUCACUGGCCCGAUACUGACGCUGAGGCACGAAAGCGUGGGGAGCAAACA